GUUAAAAAAAAACUAGAAAAAAGUUUAAAAACAGCAAAAUUACAAGAAUGUCAUUAAUGAAAACGGGUACAAUGUGAGCCAUUAGAUGGAGUGCGAUCAAUGACUGAGAUUACUUCCUACUUCUUAUUAUUCACCUCGGUCUCACAUGAUCUCAUAUAUAUAUAUAGCAACCAAUUCUAUAAUAGGAACUAGGAGCCCAUUACAACCGUUAAAUUAAAAAAUAAUGGACGGAUAAAAUCAUUUUAAUACGUAGUAUUCAGAUCGAGAUCACCUAAUUUCCCCUCUCUCUCCCGAUUCUCUCUCCUCCAUUGAAGCCAUUGCUAUGAAUUCUCCAUCAAAGCAACUUUUGAGCUUCCAAUUCUCCAUUGAAGCAACUUUCGAGCUUUAUUUAAUCCAUUGAAGCAGCUUUUGAGAUGGAUGCCACCAAUCAUAAGUGCUCAAAGGCUAGGUAUGAUGAAACUAUCAAGGAAGUAUCUUCAUACCUCAAGAAGGUUGGAUACAACCCUGAUAAAAUUCCAUUUGUUCCUAUCUCUGGGUUUGAGGGUUAUUUUGUUUAUGAAUUUGUUCGAAAAAUAUUGCAAACUAAUUUGAUUGGAGAUAUUUUAAACAAAUCAUUGACCUC